ACGGCUGAUAUCUAACACAGAGAUCUGAAAUUGCUUCCAAUUUUUCAUUCUUUACUUUACUUUCGAUUUUUCAAUUUUCUCAGUACCUACUUCGUUUUCUUAUGAAUCUAAUCUUAUAAUAUUUUUGUUAUGUGUUUAGUUUCUUUGUUUUUUUUUAUGUUAUUUUGUAACUAUGCUACAUUGUACCGAGAGAAGGGUGGUAGCAAAAAAACCAAUACCCUUAAUCUUGAAUGUGCCAUUGCGGCUGUAGUUAUAUUAAAUUGAAGAAUCUUACUGGCCGGUUAUUGUGACUCUGUCGAUAAAUCUGCUUACCGAGUUUCUCACAAUU
rnacentral:lncRNA from 1 species